rnacentral:rRNA from 1 species
AUUGAACGCUGGCGGCAUGCCUUACACAUGCAAGUCGAACGGCAGCACGGGUGCUUGCACCUGGUGGCGAGUGGCGAACGGGUGAGUAAUACAUCGGAACAUGUCCUGUAGUGGGGGAUAGCCCGGCGAAAGCCGGAUUAAUACCGCAUACGAUCUACGGAUGACAGCGGGGGACCUUCGGGCCUCGCGCUAUAGGGUUGGCCGAUGGCUGAUUAGCUAGUUGGUGGGGUAAAGGCCUACCAAGGCGACGAUCAGUAGCUGGUCUGAGAGGACGACCAGCCACACUGGGACUGAGACACGGCCCAGACUCCUACGGGAGGCAGCAGUGGGGAAUUUUGGACAAUGGGCGAAAGCCUGAUCCAGCAAUGCCGCGUGUGUGAAGAAGGCCUUCGGGUUGUAAAGCACUUUUGUCCGGAAAGAAAUCCUUGGCCCUAAUACGGUCGGGGGAUGACGGUACCGGAAGAAUAAGCACCGGCGAACUACGUG